UACGAAGGGGGCUAGCGUUGCUCGGAAUCACUGGGCGUAAAGCGCACGUAGGCGGAUUGCUAAGUCAGGGGUGAAAUCCUGGAGCUCAACUCCAGAACUGCCUUCGAUACUGGAAAGCUCGAGUCCGGGAGAGGUGAGUGGAACUGCGAGUGUAGAGGUGAAAUUCGUAGAUAUUCGCAAGAACACCAGUGGCGAAGGCGGCUCACUGGCCCGGUACUGACGCUGAGGUGCGAAAGCGUGGGGAGCAAACAGGG
rnacentral:rRNA from 1 species